AUUGAACGCUGGCGGCAUGCCUUACACAUGCAAGUCGAACGGUAACAGGUCUUCGGAUGCUGACGAGUGGCGAACGGGUGAGUAAUACAUCGGAACGUGCCUAGUAGUGGGGGAUAGCUACUCGAAAGAGUGGCUAAUACCGCAUGAGAUCUACGGAUGAAAGCAGGGGAUCGCAAGACCUUGUGCUACUAGAGCGGCCGAUGGCAGAUUAGGUAGUUGGUGGGAUAAAAGCUUACCAAGCCGACGAUCUGUAGCUGGUCUGAGAGGACGAUCAGCCCCACUGGGACUGAGACACGGCCCAGACUCCUACGGGAGGCAGCAGUGGGGAAUUUUGGACAAUGGGCGCAAGCCUGAUCCAGCAAUGCCGCGUGCAGGAUGAAGGCCUUCGGGUUGUAAACUGCUUUUGUACGGAACGAAAAGCCCUGGGUUAAUACCCUGGGGUCAUGACGGUACCGUAAGAAUAAGCACCGGCUAACUACGUGCCAGCCGCCGCAGUAAGAC
rnacentral:rRNA from 1 species